rnacentral:rRNA from 1 species
AUUGAACGCUGGCGGCAGGCCUAACACAUGCCAGUCGAGCGGAUGAAGGGAGCUUGCUCCUGGAUUCAGCGGCGGACGGGUGAGUAAUGCCUAGGAAUCUGCCUGGUAGUGGGGGAUAACGUCCGGAAACGGGCGCUAAUACCACAUACGUCCUGAGGGAGAAAGUGGGGGAUCUUCGGACCUCACGCUAUCAGAUGAGCCUAGGUCGGAUUAGCUAGUUGGUGGGGUAAAGGCCUACCAAGGCGACGAUCCGUAACUGGUCUGAGAGGAUGAUCAGUCACACUGGAACUGAGACACGGUCCAGACUCCUACGGGAGGCAGCAGUGGGGAAUAUUGGACAAUGGGCGAAAGCCUGAUCCAGCCAUGCCGCGUGUGUGAAGAAGGUCUUCGGAUUGUAAAGCACUUUAAGUUGGGAGGAAGGGCAGUAAGUUAAUACCUUGCUGUUUUGACGUUACCAACAGAAUAAGCACCGGCUAACUUCGUG